rnacentral:rRNA from 1 species
AUUGAACGCUGGCGGCAGGCCUAAUACAUGCAAGUCGAGCGAGCGGCGGACGGGUGAGUAAUGUCUGGGAAACUGCCUGAUGGAGGGGGCUAACUACUGGAAACGGUAGCUAAUACCGCAUACCAUCAGAUGUGCUCUGAUUGGAUUAGCUAGUAGGUGGGGUAAUGGCUCACCGAGGCGACGAUCCCUAGCUGGUCUGCGAGGUGGACCAGCCACACUGGAACUGAGACACGGUCCAGACUCCGACGGGAGGCAGCAGUAGGGAAUAUUUCACAAUGGGCGAAAGCCUGACGGAGCCAUGCCGCGUGAGUGAAGAAGGCCUUCGGAUUGUAAAGCACUGUCAGCGAGGAGGCGUUACCCGCACAGAAAGCACCGGCUAACUACGUGCCAGCAGCCGCGGUAAUUC